GACGAACGCUGGCGGCGUGCUUAACACAUGCAAGUCGAGCGGAGCGGCGACCGGGUGAGUAACGCGUGAGUAACUGCCCCCCUCUCUGGGAUAACAGUUGGAAACGGCUGCUACUCCCGGAUAGUGGGGGAUGACUCGCGUCCUAUCAGCUUGUUGGUGGGGUAGUGGCCUACCAAGGCGACGACGGGUAGCCGGCCUUCGAGGGCGACCGGCCACAUGGGGCUGAGAUACGGACCAAACUCCUACGGGAGGCAGCAGUGGGGAAUAUUGCACAAUUGGGGAAACCCGGAUGCAGCAACGCCGCGGGCGUGAUGACGGCCUUCGGGUUGGAAACCGCUUGCAGCCAUGACGCGGUAGUGGCAGAAGAAGCACCGGCUAACUCCGUGCCAGCAGCCGCGGUAAUUC
rnacentral:rRNA from 1 species